rnacentral:SRP_RNA from 1 species
GCUGGGCAUGGUGACGAGUGCCUGUAAUCCCAGCUACUCAGGAGGCUGAGACAGGAGAAUUGCUUUAACCCAGGAGGCAGAGGUUGCAGUGAGCUGAGGUCACACCACUGCACUCCAGCCUGGGUGACAGAGUGAGACCCUGUCUCAA